rnacentral:rRNA from 1 species
AGCCAAGUAGCGUGCAGGACGACGGCCCUACGGGUUGUAAACUGCUUUUGCGCGGGGAUAAAGUGGGGGACGUGUCCCUCAUUGCAGGUACCGCGCGAAUAAGGACCGGCUAAUUCCGUGCCAGCAGCCGCGGUAAUACGGAAGGUCCGGGCGUUAUCCGGAUUUAUUGGGUUUAAAGGGAGCGCAGGCGGUUGGGAAAGCGUGCCGUCAAAUGUCGGGGCUCAACCCCGGAAAGCGGCGCGAACUGUCCGACUUGAGUACGCGGAAGGCAGGCGGAAUUCGUGGUGUAGCGGUGAAAUGCAUAGAUAUCACGAAGAACUCCGAUUGCGAAGGCAGCCUGCCGCAGCGCAACUGACGCUGAGGCUCGAAAGCGCGGGUAUCGAACAGGAUUAGAUACCCUGGUAGUCCGCGCGGUAAACGAUGGACGCCCGCCGUGGGGUAGAUAUAUUCCGCGGCCAAGCGAAAGCGUUAAGCGUCCCACCUGGGGAGUACGCCGGCAACGGUGAAACUCAAAGGAAUUGACGGGGGCCCGCACAAGCGGAGGAACAUGUGGUUUAAUUCGAUGAUACGCGAGGAACCUUACCCGGGCUUGAACUGCAGACGACGGCGCCGGAGACGGCGCUUCCCUUCGGGGCGUCUGCGGAGGUGCUGCAUGGUUGUCGUCAGCUCGUGCCGUGAGGUGUCGGCUCAAGUGCCAUAACGAGCGCAACCCCCGCCCGCAGUUGCCAUCGGGUAAAGCCGGGGACUCUGCGGGGACUGCCGCCGCAAGGUGCGAGGAAGGCGGGGAUGACGUCAAAUCAGCACGGCCCUUACGUCCGGGGCUACACACGUGUUACAAUGGGGCAUACAGAGAGUAGCGCAUGCGCAAGCCUGCGCGGAUCAGAAAAG